UACGUAGGGUGCAAGCGUUAAUCGGAAUUAUUGGGCGUAAAGGGCUCGUAGGCGGUUUGUCGCGUCUGCCGUGAAAGUCCGGGGCUCAACUCCGGAUCUGCGGUGGGUACGGGCAGACUAGAGUGAUGUAGGGGAGACUGGAAUUCCUGGUGUAGCGGUGAAAUGCGCAGAUAUCAGGAGGAACACCCGUGGCGAAGGCGGCUCUCUGGGACGGUACUGACGCUGAGACGCGAAAGCGUGGGGAGCGAACAGG
rnacentral:rRNA from 1 species